rnacentral:lncRNA from 1 species
UGCAUCAUACUGAUCGCGUUAUUAGAAAUCUUGUCACGAGGAUCCUAAAUGAAGGAUACUCUGUAAAGGGAGUUUCUACUCCUCUAUCAAGAAGGGACCCUUCUUUUGAGGUUGGACCUCACAAUGAGAAAUAUGAUGAUUCAUCUAGGUCUGAAAAAGAUAUAGCUGUUGAAGGAUUGUGCUCCUUAGGGCAAACUUUGCCUAUUAAGAAAUUUGUAGCAUCACCUACUGCCAAUGCUUCUCAGUCUAAGAAG